rnacentral:lncRNA from 1 species
AAUUGGCCGGUGGUUUGGCUCUGAUUUGGCAAUAGGUGGGUUCAGCAUCAAAAUUUGAGCCAAGGGGAGAAAAUUUACCUCGUUUGGUGGCCGAAAAAUGCUCCGGUCCGGCGGCGGGUGGCGGCGCUCGGUUCACCCAGUGGCUGGGUUGUCUUCUCCGGUGAGGGCUCUGGCAGCUAGGGUUUGGGGUUGGGUGUGGAUGAGAUUAUUUAUAAUCUUCUCUUUUUAAUUUGAGCCGUCCAUCAUGAUUUAAUAUGGACCGUCCGAUCUCGAUUAAAUUGGGAAUGAAUCUGGGC